GGUUUAAUUCGAUGAUACGCGAGGAACCUUACCCGGGCUUGAAUUGCAGAGGAAGGAUUUGGAGACAAUGACGCCCCUUCGGGGUCUCUGUGAAGGUGCUGCAUGGUUGUCGUCAGCUCGUGCCGUGAGGUGUCGGCUUAAGUGCCAUAACGAGCGCAACCCCUCUCCUUAGUUGCCAUCAGGUCAUGCUGGGCACUCUGGGGACACUGCCACCGUAAGGUGUGA
rnacentral:rRNA from 1 species